CGGGACGGGUGAGUAAUGUAUGGGGAUCUGCCUGAUGGCGGGGGAUAACUACUGGAAACGGUAGCUAAUACCGCAUAAUGUCUACGGACCAAAGCGGGGGACCUCCGGGCCUCGCGCCAUCAGAUGAACCCAUAUGGGAUUAGCUUGUAGGUAAGGUAACGGCUUACCUAGGCGACGAUCCCUAGCUGGUCUGAGAGGAUGAUCAGCCACACUGGGACUGAGACACGGCCCAG
rnacentral:rRNA from 1 species